rnacentral:lncRNA from 1 species
UCAAGGAGAGAGGAAAGGGAAUUCUAGUCCCUGCAUGUACAACUCCUAACCUUAAAUAAAACUUCCAAAUUAAAUAAACACCAUUAACCACUAAAACGACAUUGCAUGCUUCCUAUUCCUUGCAGCGGUCCCACAACUCAUUAAUACACACACCUCAAAUUUCUCUCUCCACUGAUCACGUUGCAAGUACAUAACUUGCAUGCAUAAAAUUCUCUUUCCCUCACUUUAACCACACACACCUUAACUUAUCUCACACCAACCAUUCCCUCAUCUCUAAGACAAUGCUCUCCACUUUCAUUCACUCUUCAAAUUUACAACUACAACCCCAAGACUUGAACUUCACCUUCACUCAUUUUCUGCAUCACCAAUACACAUAUGCCCACACCAAACUCCACCAUCAUUCUCUUUUCAUUUAAAAUCCCAUUUCAUCAUCCCACUUUAAAAAGUAGCACCCCUGCGAGUCCCACGCCCUUCUCAUGCAUCCAUAUUAGUUUCUCCCAACACUCAUGUUUUCCAUCUUGCGACCCUCUGCAACUUCCUACUUUCAUUCCUUCUCUUCAUUUUAACUCCCACAACUAAACACCAGCAACCUAGGCUACAGGACCUGAAUCCCAUGCAAAGAUCUAACUUCGAAUGUCACUCUCCAUCAAGGCUUAGCAACUUCAUUAAUAGAGAACUAUUCAAGCCUAAACUCGAGAUUAACCUCUCUUCAUUCUGCCACCAUUUUAUUUAUCUUCCUCUUUCAUUAUUCUCUUUCUAUACAACCCAUCACUCUUCCCUCCCUUCUCACAAAAGACCAAACUUAUCUAUACAACCUUUCACCCUCCUCUUUCUCUUCCGUUUUUCUUUCUUUCUCAAAUACUAAAGACCACUAAACCACACCCAUACGCACUAAACUACCCGAUACUAAAACCUUCAAAACCUAAACCCUACGCUACCCAUACUACAUCAAUGUAGGACCAAAAUCUCCUCCCAUCACCACGCCCCUCAUCUACUCUUUUCCUCCAGGUUCUAUAAUAUCAAAAAGCCAAAUUGAUUUUCGAAAGAAUUCUCCAUAAACCCAUUUUUACUUUCUUAUUUAAAAUCUCUUUUCGUUUGAUACAUUUCAACUGGCAUUUCCCCUGCAUCCCCUACACAUUCUAAGCUUCCUCUCUUGAUCCUAUGAACAC